rnacentral:rRNA from 1 species
UGAGCAAUCUGCCCUUCUCUUCGGAAUAAGCGUUGGAAACGACGUCUAAUGCCGAAUACGACCUCCUUUCGCAUGAUCGGAGAUGGAAAGCUCCGGCGGAGAAGGAUGAGCUCGCGGCCUAUCAGCUAGUUGGUGUGGGUAAUGGCCCACCAAGGCGACGACGGGUAGCCGGCCUGAGAGGGUGACCGGCCACACUGGGACUGAGACACGGCCCAGACCUCCGUACGGGAGCAG